rnacentral:rRNA from 1 species
UGGGGAAUAUUGGACAAUGGGGGAAACCCUGAUCCAGCGAUGCCGCGUGUGCGAAGAAGGCCUGCGGGUUGUAAAGCACUUUGGGUGGGGAAGAAAUGCGUGUAUCGAAUAGAUGCACGAGUUGACGUUACCCACAGAACAAGCACCGGCUAACUCUGUGCCAGCAGCCGCGGUAAUACAGAGGGUGCAAGCGUUAAUCGGAAUUACUGGGCGUAAAGGGCGCGUAGGUGGAUAAUUAAGUUAGGUGUGAAAUCCCUGGGCUUAACCUGGGAACUGCAUUUAAUACUGGUUGUCUAGAGUAGAGUAGAGGGAAGUGGAAUUUCCGGUGUAGCGGUGAAAUGCGUAGAUAUCGGAAAGAACAUCAGUGGCGAAGGCGGCUUUCUGGACUCAUACUGACGCUGAGGCGCGAAAGCGUGGGGAGCAAACAGGAUUAGAUACCCUGGUAGUCCACGCUGUAAACGAUGAAAACUAGAUGUUGGCGGGUUAAACCUGUCAGUAU